rnacentral:lncRNA from 1 species
UGUAGCAGACAACCCCUUUUCAAAAAAUCAAUCAACACCUAAAACUAGUAAAUCUCCUUUUCAUCAUCAUUUAUCAGCAUUCGCAUUGCCAUCACGAUCACCAUCAUCAUCACCUAUCAAUCUCAGAGCAAACACAACAGGAGGACGGUAAUAAAAGACGUACUAAAUCAUCCAAUCUUCGAAAACUCUGCAGCAACGACUAAGAAUCUCAGUUUUUUUCUAAUUUAUUUUCAAAAAUAAAUUGUAAUACUCUUGAAAAUUAAUUUCCUCAAUGUCAUGUUUCACCGUUGACAAAAUGAGGAAGAAACAUAGAAUUAAAGAAAUCUAGAACCUACUUACAACAACCUCCACCAAAACUCGCCUAAAAUCAGUAAUCUAAAUUAAUUUAUUGGAUUAAUCCCUUGUUUGGAUUGCUGAGAAAAUGUAGAAAGAUAACAAAAAUUCUAAAUCUCAAAAUUUUCAGUCCUCUGCAAAAAAUAUCCAAAAAAUGAAAAAAAAAAAAAACCUAUUACAAAUUCUCAGAAAUUCAAAUUAAAUUUUCUGUUCUUUUACUCACAUUUCUCAGCAACGUAACAAGAAAAACGAACAACAUCAACGAAUUCACUUUUAAGAAAAAAAACGAAGAUCGAAACAACAACAAAAGACAAAAACGGCACCGUUUGAAGAGCGAAGAAUCAGAGGAAAAAAAAAAAAACGUACCGGAGAAGCUUGAGCUCUUUGAUUUUGAAGUAAAGAAAACGAAACCUAAAGAAAGAGAAAAUGUGAAGGGAAAGAACCCAACAGAGAAAUAGAAGAAGAGAGAG